CCUACGGGGGGCUGCAGUGGGGAAUAUUGGACAAUGGGGGGAACCCUGAUCCAGCCAUGCCGCGUGUGUGAAGAAGGCCCUCGGGUUGUAAAGCACUUUCAGUGAGGAAGAACGCCUGGUGGUUAAUACCCAUCAGGAAAGACAUCACUCACAGAAGAAGCACCGGCUAACUCCGUGCCAGCAGCCGCGGUAAUACGGAGGGUGCGAGCGUUAAUCGGAAUUACUGGGCGUAAAGCGCGCGUAGGUGGCUUGAUAAGCCGGUUGUGAAAGCCCCGGGCUCAACCUGGGAACGGCAUCCGGAACUGUCAAGCUAGAGUGCAGGAGAGGAAGGUAGAAUUCCCGGUGUAGCGGUGAAAUGCGUAGAGAUCGGGAGGAAUACCAGUGGCGAAGGCGGCCUUCUGGACUGUAACUGACACUGAGGUGCGAAAGCGUGGGUAGCAAACAGGAUUAGAUACCCUUGUAGUC
rnacentral:rRNA from 1 species